UUUCCGUAGGUGAACCUGCGGAAGGAUCAUUAUCGUACAAAAUGUGAGGGGCAUGCGAGUGCUGUCGCUGACCCAAAAGUCUUUCACGUCCGAGUGUGUCCUCUUGCAUAAUAAUCCAUCUCACCCUUUGUGCAUCACCGCGUGGGCACCCUUAUGGAUCAUCUCGGAGGGGGGCUCGCGUUUUCACACAAACCCCCCUUUUAAAAGUGUAGAAUGACGACAUAUAUGAUAUCAAUACAACUUUCAACAACGGAUCUCUUGGCUCUC
rnacentral:misc_RNA from 1 species